rnacentral:tRNA from 1 species
UCCGCAGAAGCUCAGUGGUAGAGCAACAGGCUGUUAACCGGCGGAUCGUAGGUUCGAAACCUACCUGCGGAGCAA